AUUGAACGCUAGCGGGAGGCUUAACACAUGCAAGUCGAACGGAGCGGCGGACGGGUGAGUAAUGUAUGGGAAUCUGCCCGGUAGCGGGGGAUAACUACUGGAAAGGGUGGCUAAUACCGCAUACUAUCGGAGCACCCCAUAUGGGAUUAGCUAGUUGGUGGGGUAAAGGCUCACCAAGGCCACGAUCCAUAGCUGGUUUGAGAGGAUGACCAGCCCAACUGGGACUGAGACACGGCCCAGACUCCUACGGGAGGCAGCAGUGGGGAAUAUUGGACAAUGGGGGAAACCCUGAUCCAGCCAGGCCGCGUGUAUGAUGAAGGCCUUAGGGUUGUAAAGUACUUUUGGCAGAGAAGCGGUAUCUGCAGAAUAAGCACCGGCUAACUACGUGCCAGCAGCCGCGGUAAUAC
rnacentral:rRNA from 1 species